UACGUAGGGUGCGAGCGUUAAUCGGAAUUACUGGGCGUAAAGCGUGCGCAGGCGGUUUUGUAAGCCAGAUGUGAAAUCCCCGGGCUUAACCUGGGAAUGGCAUUUGGGACUGCAAGGCUUGAGUGCGGCAGAGGAGACUGGAAUUCCUGGUGUAGCGGUGAAAUGCGCAGAUAUCAGGAGGAACACCGGUGGCGAAGGCGGGUCUCUGGGCAGUAACUGACGCUGAGGAGCGAAAGCGUGGGGAGCGAACAGG
rnacentral:rRNA from 1 species